CAUUUUGUAUAUUGUUUCAGGUAUGCAACAAUUAAGGGGGAGAAAAAACCGAAGACUAUACAAGUCAAUGAUUGAGGGGGAGUUCUUCUUGAAGAAAGUUAAGUAAUAUUUCUGUUGUGUCCUUCAAAAUGUAUAAAUGAUAGUGAGUGUAUUUGUAAUGGCUUUUAUGACCAUAAUGUUUUAUUACUUGAGCUUGAGACAUAAUACAAAAUAUCGUUAUCAAUAAA
rnacentral:lncRNA from 1 species